rnacentral:rRNA from 1 species
CCUUGACAUACUAAGAACUUUCCAGAGAUGGAUUGGUGCCUUCGGGAACUUAGAUACAGGUGCUGCAUGGCUGUCGUCAGCUCGUGUCGUGAGAUGUUGGGUUAAGUCCCGCAACGAGCGCAACCCUUUUCCUUAUUUGCCAGCGGGUCAUGCCGGGAACUUUAAGGAUACUGCCAGUGACAAACUGGAGGAAGGCGGGGACGACGUCAAGUCAUCAUGGCCCUUACGGCCAGGGCUACACACGUGCUACAAUGGUCGGUACAAAGGGUUGCUACCUCGCGAGAGGAUGCUAAUCUCAAAAAGCCGAUCGUAGUCCGGAUCGCAGUCUGCAACUCGACUGCGUGAAGUCGGAAUCGCUAGUAAUCGCGGAUCAGAAUGCCGCGGUGAAUACGUUCCCGGGCCUUGUACACACCGCCCGUCACACCAUGGGAGUUUGUUGCACCAGAAGUAGGUAGUCUAACCGCAAGGAGGACGCUUACCACGGUGUGGCCGAUGACUGGAGUGAAGUCGUAACAAGGUAAGCGUAGAUGA